CUUCAAAAAAAAUAAAAAAUAAUACAACGACAACAAAUGUUGAAAUCCGCCGUAGAGUACCCAUACCUACACUGCAAAAAAUAUAUAAGAAUAUAAUAAUAUAAGUAAUCUUUUCUUCGUCCUGUUAUAACAUUGAAACACAUGUUCCGACGACCUCAUCUGUUCCUUCCUCGUGCACACGCACAGCAACACACUCAGCGGCUAUCGUCUUUUAGUACCGCACCAAUGUCAACAGAUUAUUGUUAUUUUGUAUAAGAUUUU